AAAUUGUGUCACAAAAAGAAAGAUCCUCUUAUUAUUCCCCUCAUCUCCUCUACUACACAGCUUUCCAAUUUUCUCCGAAUCCAAUUCCCCUAACCUAUACAUACAAUCUCCCUGUCUCUACACUUUCUAUUACCUUCCCUUUUAGAUCUAACCUUUUCUCUAUGCUUUCUUUUUCUUUCCCCAUCUUUUUCUAACAACUAUCAUGACCGACGUCGCCGGCGAUCACCGCCGUCCGGCACCGCCGCAGCAGCGUUCCGGCUGCUGCAAUCCGGUGAAAAAGCCAGGCCCUGUGUCGAUGGAACACGUGUUAUCUGCAUUGGGAGAGACGAAAGAGGAGAGAGAGGGGAGGAUUAGGAGCUUGUUUAAUUUCUUCGACGGUGCCAAUGGCGGUUAUUUGGAUUACGCGCAGAUCGAGGCGGGAUUAUCGGCGCUGCAAAUACCGGCGGAGUAUAAGUAUGCUAAGGAUUUACUUAGGGUUUGCGAUGCGAAUCGGGAUGGGAGAGUGGAUUAUUAUGAGUUCAGGAAGUAUAUGGAUGAUAAAGAGCUGGAGCUUUAUCGGAUUUUCCAGGCGAUUGAUGUCGAACAUAAUGGAUGUAUUUUGCCCGAGGAGCUGUGGGAUGCUCUUGUUAAGGCUGGUAUAGAAAUGGAUGAUGAAGAACUAGCUCGAUUUGUGGAGCAUGUCGACAAAGAUAAUAAUGGAAUAAUCACUUUUGAGGAGUGGAGAGAUUUUCUUCUUCUCUACCCACAUGAAGCAACUAUAGAAAACAUCUAUGAGUAUUGGGAAAGAGUUUAUCUUGUUGACAUUGGAGAACAAGCUGUCAUUCCUGAUGGCAUCAGCAAGCAUGUCCAUGCGAGCAAGUAUUUGAUUGCUGGUGGAGUUGCCGGAGCUGCUUCUCGUACUGCAACUGCUCCGCUGGAUCGUCUCAAGGUUGUACUACAAGUUCAGACUAGUCGUGCGUCUAUCCUUUCUGCUGUUAGAAAUAUAUGGAAGGAAGGUGGUCUUUUGGGAUUUUUCCGAGGAAAUGGGUUAAACGUUGUGAAGGUUGCACCUGAGAGUGCUAUCAAAUUUUACACUUAUGAACUUUUAAAAAAUUUCAUAGGUGAUAUCAAUGGGGAAGCUAAAGGUGACAUUGGGACUUCCGGGAGGCUUGUUGCUGGUGGUUUGGCUGGUGCGGUGGCACAAACUGCCAUCUAUCCUAUGGAUCUUGUAAAAACACGGUUACAGACUCAUGCUUGUGAGAGUGGAAAGGUCCCAAGCUUGGGAAAGCUAUCGAGAGACAUAUUGGUGCAUGAAGGACCUCGAGCAUUCUACAGAGGGAUAGUACCAUCUCUGCUUGGGAUCAUCCCUUAUGCUGGAAUCGACUUAGCCGCUUAUGAGACCUUGAAAGAUAUGUCUAAAACAUAUCUCGCAAAUGAUGACCCUGGCCCUCUUGUGCAACUGGGUUGUGGGACAAUUUCGGGAGCACUGGGAGCAACAUGUGUUUACCCCUUGCAAGUUGUCAGGACAAGAAUGCAGGCUCAGCAUUCUAGUUCAACUACAGCGUACUCUGGAAUGUCGGAUGUAUUUAGGAGAACUUUCCAGCAUGAGGGUUUAAGAGGUUUCUACAAAGGACUUUUCCCGAAUCUUCUCAAAGUUGUACCAGCAGCUAGUAUUACAUAUCUGGUUUACGAAACUAUGAAAAAAAGCCUUGAUCUUGAUUGAUUUUAGGUGCUCUCAUUUAUGAGUGCUGCCACACAUUCAAAGGUAUAAACUGGUAAUGGUGGUGAUUGAUGAUCAUGACGAAGAAUAUGAAUAAAGAAACAGCUAAUCAAUAGGUGAUGCCAUUGUUUGAUUAUACGAUGAUAGAUGUAACUUUCUUUAGGAUCCUGUGGUUCAGCAGGAGAUUUUUUCUGGUAUUUGCCUGACGAUACUAAGGAUAGAACAUGUUUCAAGGUCUAUCUGUUGAGAAAUGUAAGAUGUACUUAUAAAUCUGCGACUAAAUUGCUUCUAAAUCGAGAAUAGAGAGGUGCAGAAAUUGCCGAUGUUUUAUGAUGAAAGACGCUCUUUUGACGACUGACAACACAUUUUUCUUGUAAUGAGAUGUAUGCGUUUCGUGAGACU